rnacentral:rRNA from 1 species
AAAUUGAAGAGUUUGAUCAUGGCUCAGAUUGAACGCUGGCGGCAGGCCUAACACAUGCAAGUCGAGCGGUAGCACAGAGAGCUUGCUCUCGGGUGACGAGCGGCGGACGGGUGAGUAAUGUCUGGGAAACUGCCUGAUGGAGGGGGAUAACUACUGGAAACGGUAGCUAAUACCGCAUAACGUCGCAAGACCAAAGUGGGGGACCUUCGGGCCUCAUGCCAUCAGAUGUGCCCAGAUGGGAUUAGCUAGUAGGUGGGGUAACGGCUCACCUAGGCGACGAUCCCUAGCUGGUCUGAGAGGAUGACCAGCCACACUGGAACUGAGACACGGUCCAGACUCCUACGGGAGGCAGCAGUGGGGAAUAUUGCACAAUGGGCGCAAGCCUGAUGCAGCCAUGCCGCGUGUGUGAAGAAGGCCUUCGGGUUGUAAAGCACUUUCAGCGGGGAGGAAGGCGAUAAGGUUAAUAACCUUGUCGAUUGACGUUACCCGCAGAAGAAGCACCGGCUAACUCCGUGCCAGCAGCCGCGGUAAUACGGAGGGUGCAAGCGUUAAUCGGAAUUACUGGGCGUAAAGCGCACGCAGGCGGUCUGUCAAGUCGGAUGUGAAAUCCCCGGCUCAACCUGGGAACUGCAUUCGAAACUGGCAGGCUAGAGUCUUGUAGAGGGGGGUAGAAUUCCAGGUGUAGCGGUGAAAUGCGUAGAGAUCUGGAGGAAUACCGGUGGCGAAGGCGGCCCCCUGGACAAAGACUGACGCUCAGGUGCGAAAGCGUGGGGAGCAAACAGGAUUAGAUACCCUGGUAGUCCACGCCGUAAACGAUGUCGAUUUGGAGGUUGUGCCCUUGAGGCGUGGCUUCCGGAGCUAACGCGUUAAAUCGACCGCCUGGGGAGUACGGCCGCAAGGUUAAAACUCAAAUGAAUUGACGGGGGCCCGCACAAGCGGUGGAGCAUGUGGUUUAAUUCGAUGCAACGCGAAGAACCUUACCUGGUCUUGACAUCCACAGAACUUUCCAGAGAUGGAUUGGUGCCUUCGGGAACUGUGAGACAGGUGCUGCAUGGCUGUCGUCAGCUCGUGUUGUGAAAUGUUGGGUUAAGUCCCGCAACGAGCGCAACCCUUAUCCUUUGUUGCCAGCGGUCCGGCCGGGAACUCAAAGGAGACUGCCAGUGAUAAACUGGAGGAAGGUGGGGAUGACGUCAAGUCAUCAUGGCCCUUACGACCAGGGCUACACACGUGCUACAAUGGCAUAUACAAAGAGAAGCGACCUCGCGAGAGCAAGCGGACCUCAUAAAGUAUGUCGUAGUCCGGAUUGGAGUCUGCAACUCGACUCCAUGAAGUCGGAAUCGCUAGUAAUCGUAGAUCAGAAUGCUACGGUGAAUACGUUCCCGGGCCUUGUACACACCGCCCGUCACACCAUGGGAGUGGGUUGCAAAAGAAGUAGGUAGCUUAACCUUCGGGAGGGCGCUUACCACUUUGUGAUUCAUGACUGGGGUGAAGUCGUAACAAGGUAACCGUAGGGGAACCUGCGGUUGGAUCACCUCCUUACCUUAAAGAA